rnacentral:rRNA from 1 species
UACGUAGGGUGCAAGCGUUAAUCGGAAUUACUGGGCGUAAAGCGUGCGCAGGCGGAUAUAUAAGUUAGAUGUGAAAUCCCUGAGCUUAACUUAGGAAUGGCAUUUAAGACUGUAUGUCUAGAGUUUGUCAGAGGGAGGUAGAAUUCCAAGUGUAGCAGUGAAAUGCGUAGAUAUUUGGAGGAAUACCAGUGGCGUAGGCGGCCUCCUGGGAUAAAACUGACGCUCAGGCACGAAAGCGUGGGUAGCAAACAGG